AACGAACGUUAGCGGCGCGCUUAACACAUGCAAGUCGUGCGAGAAAGGGCUUCGGCCCCGGUAAAGCGGCGCACGGGUGAGUAACACGUAGGUAACCUACCCUCAGGUGGUGGAUAACAUCCCGAAAGGGGUGCUAAUACAGCAUGAGACCACGCCCCCGUAAGGGGAUGAGGUCAAAGCCGGCCUCUUCAUGAAAGCUGGCGCCAGAGGAAGGGCCUGCGGCCCAUCAGCUAGUUGGUAGGGUAAUGGCUUACCAAGGCUAAGACGGGUAGCUGGUCUGAGAGGAUGAUCAGCCACACUGGAACUGAGACACGGUCCAG
rnacentral:rRNA from 1 species